CCUACGGGAUGCAGCAGUGAGGAAUAUUGGUCAAUGGACGAGAGUCUGAACCAGCCAAGUAGCGUGAAGGAUGACUGCCCUAUGGGUUGUACACUUCUUUUAUAAAGGAAUAAAACGAGGCACGUGUGCCUUUUUGCAUGUACUUUAUGAAUAAGGAUCGGCUAACUCCGUGCCAGCAGCCUCGGUAAUACGGCGGAUGCUAGCGUUAUCCGGAUUUAUUGGGUUUAAAGGGAGCGUAGAUGGGUUGUUAAGUCAGUUGUGACAGUUUGCGGCUCAACCGUAAAAUUGCAAUUGAUACUGGCAGUCGUGAGUACAGGUGAGGUAGGCGGAAUUCGUGGUGUAGCGGUGAAAUGCUUAGAUAGCACGAAGAACUCCGAUUGCGAAGGCAGCUUACUAAACUGCCACUGACAGUGAGGCUCGAAAGUGUGGGGAUCAAACAGGAUGAGAUACCCGAGUAGUC
rnacentral:rRNA from 1 species